GAAAACCCAAAUUCCAUGAAAGUUGCCUUGAAGAAUCAUUUACUAUAUUCAACUUGCUUCGUAGAAGUUCUUUGACCUUAAAGUCUAUUUAUACCUGUUGCUCCUACUAAAAUAAAACCGUUAAUUUUACCUGAUUUUUCUCCUUAUUAGGUUGGUAAAGUGAAGGAUUUUUAGAUAUGGACAGAAGUGAUUUAAAAUCUUCCACGGGAACAUCGUCAAAGCAAACCGAUUUUUUGCAAAAUCCAGCUGAGAAUACAUCAAACGACGCAGUAUUGUUAAUAGAUUUUGGAUCAAGUGAAAACAGUGAAGAUUUAAAUAUGGGAGGCGAAGAAAAAAAGGAAGAUGAAAAUUUUGAAGCUGAUUUUGAUGGAUUUUUUAAAAAAUCGCCCAAUAUAGCUAUAAAUAUAACUGAGGAUAGUGAUGAAAGUAAUUUUGAAUCUUCUGACAAAGAUCUAACAACAAAAUCUCCUGGUGGAUUUUUUAGUGUUGAUUUUGAAGCAAUCCCAGAUGUGAAUGUUUAUCAACACAAGAAAACAGUAGCUCAAGGAAUGAUGGAUUUGGCUUUAUUUUCUGCAAAUGCUAAUCAAUUACGUUUUGUCUUUGAAAAUCCUAAUCAAUUUUACUAUUAUCCAGGAGUUACAUUAAUUUUAAUGAGUUUAAUAUUUCAAAAUCUUUAAAUAUUACUCAAAAUACUAUUAAUAGUAUCAGUAUUAUUCAUGAUGUUAGCUGAAUUAAACCACAAACUUGAUAACAAAGAACAGAAUGAGAAGUUUGAUAAUUAUGUUAGUUCUUGUUCUGAGACCCUAGAGGUUAACACAGAAGAAUUUCAUCAAAUUAUAAAUUCAAAUUCUUCUGAUAGCAUGUUCAAACCAGUUGAUGUUCAUUUUUAUCAACAAAAACAGACGGUUGCUAAAGGAUUUUUGGAUAUCGCUUUAUUUUCAGCAAACACAAAUCAGUUUAGGUACAUUUUGGAUUCUGGUUCAACUGAACAUCAUUAUUAUUAUUGCGGUUUGGUUCUUAUAACAAUUAGUUUAGCUUUUCAAGUUUUAGUUGGAAUUGGACUCAUCUUAAACACAAGAUACAACGUAAAGAAUAGAAGAGAAAUAUGUUUAGCAAAUAAAAUCAA